AAAAAGAUAAGCUAAUUUUAAGCUAUUGGGUUCAUACCCCAACUAUAAAGGUUUUAAUCCUUUUCUUUUUA
rnacentral:tRNA from 1 species